rnacentral:rRNA from 1 species
GACGAACGCUGGCGGCGUGCUUAACACAUGCAAGUCGAACGGAAAGGCCCUGCUUUUGUGGGGUGCUCGAGUGGCGAACGGGUGAGUAACACGUGAGUAACCUGCCCUUGACUUUGGGAUAACUUCAGGAAACUGGGGCUAAUACCGGAUAGGAGCUCCUGCUGCAUGGCGGGGGUUGGAAAGUUUCGGCGGUUGGGGAUGGACUCGCGGCUUAUCAGCUUGUUGGUGGGGUAGUGGCUUACCAAGGCUUUGACGGGUAGCCGGCCUGAGAGGGUAACCGGCCACAUUGGGACUGAGAUACGGCCCAGACUCCUACGGGAGGCAGCAGUGGGGAAUAUUGCACAAUGGGCGGAAGCCUGAUGCAGCAACGCCGCGUGCGGGAUGACGGCCUUCGGGUUGUAAACCGCUUUCGCCUGUGACGAAGCGUGAGUGACGGUAAUGGGUAAAGAAGCACCGGCUAACUACGUG